GACGAACGCUGGCGGCGUGCCUAAUACAUGCAAGUCGAACGCAGUGGGGACGGGUGAGUAACACGUGGGUAACCUCCCCAUCAGAGGGGAUAACCCUUGGAAACAGGUGCUAAACCGAUACUGAUGGAUGGACCCGCGGUGCAGGAGCUAGUUGGUGAGGUAACGGCUCACCACGGCCACGAUGCAUAGCCGACCUGAGAGGGGGAUGGGCCACACUGGGACUGAGACACGGCCAAGACUCCACGGGAAGGCAGCAGUAGGGAAUCUUCGGCAAUGGACGAAAGUCUGACCGAGAAACGCCGCGUGAGUGAAGAGGGUUUUCGGAUGGUAAAACUCUGUUGUUAGAGAAGCGGUAUCUAACCAGAAAGCCACGGCUAACUACGUGCCAGCUGCCGCGGUAAUUC
rnacentral:rRNA from 1 species